rnacentral:rRNA from 1 species
GACGAACGCUGGCGGCGUGCCUAACACAUGCAAGUCGAACGGAGAUUAUUGAUGAAGCUUGCGAUUUAAUAAUCUUAGUGGCGGACGGGUGAGUAACGCGUGGGUAACCUGCCCAUAAGAGGGGGAUAACAGCUGGAAACGGCUGCUAAUACCCCGUAAGCCGGGAGGUGAAAGGUACGCGAGUACUGCCGGGGGAUGAGCUCAUGUCCUAUCAGCUUGUUGGUGAGGUAACGGCUCACCAAGGCGACGACGGGUAGCCGGCCUGAGAGGGUGACCGGCCACACUGGAACUGAGAUACGGUCCAGACUCCUACGGGAGCAGCAGUGGGAUAUGGCAAUGGGGGAACCCUGACCCAGCGACGCCGCGUGAGGGGAA